rnacentral:rRNA from 1 species
AGAGUUUGAUCCUGGCUCAGGAUGAACGCUAGCGGCAGGCCUAAUACAUGCAAGUCGAGGGGUAACAUGAGAGCUUGCUCUUGAUGACGACCGGCGCACGGGUGCGUAACGCGUAUGCAACCUACCCACAACUGGAGGAUAGCCCGGAGAAAUCCGGAUUAAUACUCCAUAAUGCAGGGGUACCACCUGGUACUAUUUGCUAAAGAUUUAUUGGUUGUGGAUGGGCAUGCGUCUGAUUAGUUUGUUGGUGAGGUAACGGCUCACCAAGACCGCGAUCAGUAGGGGGUCUGAGAGGAUGAUCCCCCACACUGGCACUGAGAUACGGGCCAGACUCCUACGGGAGGCAGCAGUAGGGAAUAUUGGGCAAUGGGCGAAAGCCUGACCCAGCCAUGCCGCGUGAAGGAUGAAGGCCUUCUGGGUUGUAAACUUCUUUUAUACAGGAAGAAAAAGGUCAUGCGUGACCAAUUGACGGUACUGUAUGAAUAAGCACCGCUAACU